GAUGUUGAAUUUAUGAUCAACCUCCCAAGUAGCUGGGAUUACAGGUAUACACCACACAUACAUCAAACUGUUCCAGUGUCAUCCAUCGAAAUAUUAUUUUUCCAACUGAAUUGUUUUGCAUCUUCUUUGAAAAUCAUCCAUGAUUUUCUAUUUCUGAGUACUCAUGUUGUUCUGUUGAGGUACCAGCAGAAGGCUGCCAAACUUCUCUAAGAUGAAGAAACUGAAGCGUGGAGGUGUUUGGAGGUUGACUGACCCUCUAUCUGUCUG